rnacentral:rRNA from 1 species
GACGAACGCUGGCGGCGUGCUUAAAACAUGCAAGUCGAACGGACUUCUCAUGAAGCUUGCGAUUGAGAAGUUAGUGGCGGACGGGUGAGUAACGCGUGGGCAACCUGCCCCUGAGCCCGGGAUAACAGUUCGAAAGGACUGCUAAGACCGGAUAUACUUGCGGGGAAGCAUUUCACUGCAAGGAAAGGGAACGCUCAGGGAUGGGCCCGCGUCCCAUUAGCUAGUUGGUGAGGUAACGGCCCACCAAGGCGACGAUGGGUAGCCGGCCUGAGAGGGUGAACGGCCACACUGGGACUGAGACACGGCCCAGACUCCUACGGGAGGCAGCAGUUGGGAAUCUUCGGCAAUGGGCGCAAGCCUGACCGAGCAACGCCGCGUGGGUGAUGAAGGUUUUCGGAUUGUAAAGCUCUGUCUUCCGGGACGAUAAUGACGGUACCGGAGGAGGAAGCCACGGCUAACUACGUG